GCUUGUCUCAAAGAUUAAGCCAUGCAUGUUCCAGUGUAGGCUUCUAUACAGAGAAAUUGCGAACGGAUUAUUAAAACAUUUACGGCUUAUAAACUCCUUACAUGGAUAAUUCUGGUAAUUCUAGAGCUAAUACAUGCGCCCAAACUAGGAUGUGUGGAAUGGUUUUUUUUUAUGAGUUACACAACCAACCCAGGCUCUGCCUGGUAUUGUGGUGAUCUACAAUAACUGAAUGAAUCGCAUUGCGUCACAUGGCGAUGAGUCAUUCAAGUUUCUGACUUAUCAGCUUCCGAUGGUAGCGUAUUGGCCUACCAUGGCAAUGACGGGUAACAGUCAAUAGGGUUUGGUUCCGGAAAGGGAGCCGGAAAAAUGGCGACCACCUUUAAGGAAGGCAGCAGG
rnacentral:rRNA from 1 species